UUGGGUUCAUUCAUGAUUGCACGAGGUAUAUUGCCAUUGUAUCAAUAAAGCAGUCGUCGAUUAGCGGCAAUGUUUCAUUUGAAUCAGAAAUUUUAGUUCAUCAUUGAAAUUCUCAAUCUUAAUAAUCCAGACACAAAGGAGGUCAUACCUUUCAACUUUUUUUCAGCGUAAAUCAAAUUCAAAUUGGUCCAGUUGGAUUUUUGACGUUUUUUACUUUGCGCUUAAUACAGAGUGGACGAACUGCUUUCAACGCAGGCAGCAGCAUUAAGAAUGUUUUCCCCGCCAUGCAGGGACUAGAUCUUUUACCUAGGCCACCAAACAUUAUAGGCAAAAUAGUCGAUAUCCGGUCAUUUCCUUCUCAUUCCCUUGGGCAUUCCUCGGUCAUUCACCACUCAUUCCCGGUCGAUUCCUAGUUCAAUUCCGGUUCAAUCCCGGUUCAUUCCCCGUCGAUUCACCGCUCAUCGUCCGUCCAUUCCACGCCGAUUCCCCGCUCAUUCUCGACUCAUUCCCUGGUUAACCACCGUCGAUUCCUCGCUCAUUCCCCGUCGACUCCCCUGUCAUUGUCCGUCAAUUGUUAGCUCAUUUACCGUCGAUUCCCAGUCGAUUUUCCUCUCAUUCCCCGGUCAUCACCACUCACUCGUCCCUCAUUUCCCGUUCAUUAUCCGGC